CAGAUACAAGUAUAUCUGAGGAAUCCACUGUUCCUCAAUACCAAACACCUUAUUUUGGAGAAACCUCUGGAACCAAACCUGUAGAAGAAACCUUUGAUCAACAAACUAAACCACAAACCACAACAAAAGGAAUAAAAAUACAAGAAGGUAUUUUUCGACAAGGACAGUUUAGUCAACCAUAUGAAGAUAGUGAAUUUACUAUAAAUACUUUAACAAAUACUUUUAUCUUAGAUAAGGACCAAAUUCAAACUGACUAUAUGUCAGAUAAAAACCGGG
rnacentral:lncRNA from 1 species